GAACACUGGAUGUGUAUAUAUAUAUAACAACCAAAGGGCAUGAAAUCUUAUAUUUUUGGUGUAGAUGAACAAAAAACAGGGAGGAAAGGAGUUUGAUCGGCUGCGAUCUUCCAGAUGUGGCGGAGUUCGUCGUCGUCGCAAGAGAGGAAACUAGAAGAGGAGAGGAGAGGGGUGAGGGAGAGAAGUGUGCUAAGGCAACAGAAGAGGGUUUAUAUAAUGGCAAUUCCGUAAUUUUCCAAGUUUUGAAGGGGCAUUUUAGUCAUUUCAGCCCCUCCCAACCCAGCUGUGUGUAUAAGCUGUUUGAAUAAGCAUCUCCCGAGUUGCUUCCCCCCAAGCUGAAAAUAGAUUACAAAUAAGCUAUAAUUUGAUCAUUUAAGUUACACCAAACACAUAUUUAUAACUUAAAUUAAGUUAAAAGCUAAAAUAAGCAGCUUAUAAGCUGUGCCAAACAGGCACAUUGUGAGUUUAUGAUCAAAGCCAAUGGCUAGUUCAAAGUUUAAGAGGCUGUUUAGUAAAGUUGAAAGUUUUUAGUAGUGUGAAAGUACUGAAAUUUUAAUUUUAAAACUUUUAAGAUAAAAGUUGUUAGAAGAAAAUGAAAAUAAAGCUACCUUCUACUAACUGUAUUCUACAUUCAGUAACAAGUCAAGUCAAGUCAAACUUAAAAUUUAGACUAGUUUUCAGGCAAUUUUCAAAUUUAAGUGGUAGGUACUUAUGCAUUAUCAAAGUCACUUAAUGCAUUUAGUUUUUGAAGUACUUAAUUACAAGCAGGGCCUGGGCAAAAAGUUUCUCGUAUCGCAAGAAUUCCUAUUUAAAAUUAAAAUAUUGGUUCUUUUUUAAUGUUAAGCAUUGAUGUUGACCCAAGAAGAUGUGGUUAUGGUUGCAAAAUAUUGGCUGUGUCCAGUCUUAAGAUUUUGGGAUUGAGGUGAAUAUGGCACCUCGCCACCCUUCAUUCAAAAUGAUUACUUGAGUCCAUGUAACUCAGAUAGGUACAUAGUUCACAGUUUUUCCCGAAUGCUGCCACAUUGUAAGAUAAGGGAAACAGUUGAAUAUUGUCGAAGUUUGGAUAUAUUUACAUAGGAGAAUGGCAGAUGGAAAUAUCAAGCUUCUGCGGUCCUGUCACAUCCACUGCAGAGUGGUGUGAAAAAAUUAUGUAUACUCUUCCUAUAUUGCGGAAUUCUACAACACCACAUCUAAUAUCCCAUGCAUUCUUUUGGCACUAAUAGGCUUAAUAAAUGCCUUAAGCCAACCGUUUGAGAAGAGAUUUAGUGUUCUUCAUAUAUCAAAUAUGAUACUAGCUAUUGGGAGCAUGUUAUUCCA